rnacentral:rRNA from 1 species
UACGGGGGGGGCAAGCGUUGUUCGGAAUUACUGGGCGUAAAGGGCUCGUAGGCGGCCAACUAAGUCAAACGUGAAAUCCCUCGGCUUAACCGGGGAACUGCGCUUGAUACUGUCGGGCUUGAGUACGGGAGAGGCGAGUGGAAUUCCCGGUGUAGCGGUGAAAUGCGCAGAUAUCGGGAGGAACACCAAUUGCGAAGGCAGCUCGCUGGGACGUCACUGACGCUGAGACGCGAAAGCGUGGGGAGCAAACAGG